rnacentral:rRNA from 1 species
GUCUAGGGCCAUACCACCCUGAACUCUCCCCAUCUCGUCUGAUCUUAGAAGCUACGCAGGGUCAGGCCUGGGUAGUACUUGGGUGGGAGACUGUCUGGGAAUACUGAGUGCCGUAGGCU